UACGUAUGGGGCGAGCGUUGUUCGGAAUUAUUGGGCGUAAAGGGCGUCUAGGCGGGGAUUUAAGUUAGGUGUGAAGGCUAUGGGCUCAACCCAUAAACUGCAUCUAAAACUGGAUCUCUUGAGUUCGGGAGAGGAGAGCGGAAUUCCAGGUGUAGCGGUGAAAUGCGUAGAUAUCCGGAAGAACACCGAUGGCGAAGGCAGGUCUCUGGGCAGUUACUGACGCUGAGGAGCGAAAGCAUGGGUAGCAAACAGGAUUAGAAACCCGAGUAGU
rnacentral:rRNA from 1 species